CCUACGGGGGGCAGCAGGGAGGAAUAUUGGUCAAUGGGCGCGAGCCUGAACCAGCCAAGUAGCGUGAAGGAUGACUGCCCUACGGGUUGUAAACUUCUUUUAUAAAGGAAUAAAGUGAGGCACGUGUGCCUUUGUGGAUGUACUUUAUGAAUAAGAAUCGGCUAACUCCGUGCCAGCAGCCGCGGUAAUACGGAGGAUCCGAGCGUUAUCCGGAUUUAUUGGGUUUAAGGGGAGCGUAGACGGGUUGUUAAGUCAGUUGUGAAAGUUUGAGGCGCAACCCUAAAAGUGCAAUUGAUACUGGCAGUCUUGAGUACAGUUGAGGUAUGCGGAAUUCGUGGUGUAGCGGUGAAAUGCUUAGAUAUCACGAAGAACUCCGAUUGCGAAGGCAGCUUACCAAACUGCCACUGACAUUGAUGCUCGAAAGUGUGGGUAUCAAACAGGAUUAGAUACCCCUGUAGUC
rnacentral:rRNA from 1 species